rnacentral:rRNA from 1 species
UACGUAGGGUGCGAGCGUUGUCCGGAAUUAUUGGGCGUAAAGAGCUUGUAGGCGGUUUGUCGCGUCUGCUGUGAAAAUCCGGGGCUCAACCCCGGACUUGCAGUGGGUACGGGCAGACUAGAGUGUGGUAGGGGAGACUGGAAUUCCUGGUGUAGCGGUGAAAUGCGCAGAUAUCAGGAGGAACACCGGUGGCGAAGGCGGAUCUCUGGGCCAUAACUGACGCUGAGGAGCGAAAGCAUGGGGAGCGAACAGG